rnacentral:rRNA from 1 species
GAUGAACGCUGGCGGCAUGCCUAAUACAUGCAAGUCGAACGAGAGGAAGGAAAGCUUGCUUUUCUGAAUCUAGUGGCGAACGGGUGAGUAACACGUAGGUAACCUGCCCAUGUGCCCGGGAUAACUUCUGGAAACGGAUGCUAAAACCGGAUAGGUAACAGACAAGCAUUUGACUGCUAUUAAAGUGGCUAAGGCCAUGAACAUGGAUGGACCUGCGGUGCAUUAGCUAGUUGGUGAGGUAACGGCCCACCAAGGCGACGAUGCAUAGCCGGCCUGAGAGGGCGGACGGCCACAUUGGGACUGAGACACGGCCCAAACUCCUACGGGAGGCAGCAGUAGGGAAUUUUCGUCAAUGGGGGGAACCUUGAACGAGCAAUGCCGCGUGAGUGAGGAAGGUCUUCGGAUCGUAAAGCUCUGUUGUAAGAGAAAAACGACAUUCAUAGGGAAUGAUGAGUGAGUGAUGGUAUCUUACCAGAAAGUCACGGCUAACUACGUGCCAGCCGCCGCGGUAA